UUCGGGUUGAUCCUGCCGGACCCGACUGCUAUCAGAGUGGGACUAAGCCAUGCGAGUCGACGUAGCAAUGCGUGGCGAACGGCUCAGUAACACGUAGUCAACAUGCCCAGGGGACGUGGAUAACCUCGGGAAACUGAGAAUAAACCACGAUAGGUCACGAUUUCUGGAAUGGAUCAUGGCCUAAAUCUACAUGGCCCCUGGAUUGGACUGCGGCCGAUCAGGCUGUUGGUGAGGUAAUGGCCCACCAAACCUAUAACCGGUACGGGCUCUGAGAGGAGAAGCCCGGAGAUGGGCACUGAGACAAGGGCCCAGGCCCUAUGGGGCGCAGCAGGCGCGAAACCUCUGCAAUAGGCGAAAGCCUGACAGGGUUACUCUGAGUGAUUUCCGCUAAGGGGAUCUUUUGGCACCUCUAAAAAUGGUGCAGAAUAAGGGGUGGGCAAGUCUGGUGUCAGCCGCCGCGGUAAUACCAGCACCCCGAGUGGUCGGGACGAUUAUUGGGCCUAAAGCAUCCGUAGCCGGUUCUGCAAGUCUUCCGUUAAAUCCAGCCGCUCAACGGAUGGGCCGCGGAGGAUACUACAGGACUAGGAGGCGGGAGAGGCAAGCGGUACUCAGUGGGUAGGGGUAAAAUCCUUUGAUCCAUUGAAGACCACCAGUGGCGAAGGCGGCUUGCCAGAACGCGCUCGACGGUGAGGGAUGAAAGCUGGGGGAGCAAACCGGAUUAGAUACCCGGGUAGUCCCAGCUGUAAACGAUGCAGACUCGGUGAUGGGCUAGCCUUGUGCCAGCCCAGUGCCGCAGGGAAGCCGUUAAGUCUGCCGCCUGGGGAGUACGGCCGCAAGACUGAAACUUAAAGGAAUUGGCGGGGGAGCA
rnacentral:rRNA from 1 species